GAUGAAGAACGCAGCGAAAUGCGAUACGUAAUGUGAAUUGCAGAAUUCAGUGAAUCAUCGAAUCUUUGAACGCACCUUGCGCCCUUUGGCCAUUCCGAAGGGCAUGCCUGUUUGAGUAUCAUGAACACCUCAACUCUCAUGGCUUGCCAUGAUGAGCUUGGACUUUGGGGGUCUUGCUGGCCUGUGGUCAGCUCCUCUCAAAUGAAUUAGCUUUCCAGUGUUUGGUUGGCAUCACAGGUGUGAUAACUAUCUACGCUUGUGGUUUCCACCAGGUAACCUUCAGUAACAUGGGGGUUUGCUGGAGCUCAUAAAUGUCUCUCCUCAGUGGGGACAGCUCUUUGAACGUUUGAUAUCAAAUCAGGUAGGACUACCCGCUGAACUUAAGCAUAUCAAUAAGCGGAGGA
rnacentral:misc_RNA from 1 species